UUCAGAUAUCAAUGUCGUUUGGUUUAAUUUGGUUAGGGUUCGAGGCUACGACUGUUGAAGAAGCAAGUACACGUACGACAGUUUUUUUUAUAGACCUCAAUAUUUUAAUGAAAGUUUAAAAGAAGAUGUGGUACAAUUUUCAUUGAAAUCGCUAUCACCAAAGAUGAAAUCAAUAGCAGUUCACUUAUACGGUCAUCACCAAUGAGCAAAACCUAUAAGGUAUGGUAAGUUCUCAAGGUUCCAGCAUUACAAACUGUAAAGCAAUUCUAGCGAGUAUUGAUGUUAAAAAAAGAUGACAAGAGAACAAACAUG
rnacentral:lncRNA from 1 species